UGAGGAAUAUUGGUCAAUGGGCGUAAGCCUGAACCAGCCAAGUCGCGUGAGGGAUGAAGGUUCUAUGGAUCGUAAACCUCUUUUAUAAGGGAAUAAAGUGUGGGACGUGUCCCGUUUUGUAUGUACCUUAUGAAUAAGGAUCGGCUAACUCCGUGCCAGCAGCCGCGGUAAUACGGAGGAUCCGAGCGUUAUCCGGAUUUACUGGGUGUAAAGGGAGCGUAGACGGCGAUGCAAGCCAGAUGUGAAAGCCCGGGGCUCAACCCCGGGACUGCAUUUGGAACUGCGUGGCUGGAGUGUCGGAGAGGCAGGCGGAAUUCCUAGUGUAGCGGUGAAAUGCGUAGAUAUUAGGAGGAACACCAGUGGCGAAGGCGGCCUGCUGGACGAUGACUGACGUUGAGGCUCGAAAGCGUGGGGGAGCAAACAGGAUUAGAUACCC
rnacentral:rRNA from 1 species